rnacentral:tRNA from 1 species
GGGGAUUUGGCUCAGUGGUAGAGCGCUUGCCUAGCAAGCACAAGGUCCUGGGUUCAGUCCCCA